UAUAAAGUCUCCUUUUAACGCUGAGACUUGGGAUCACAAGAGUUUUACAGCUUAUGAAGUAUUUUUUUCUUCAACUGUUGCAAUACUAAGGGGAAAAAUCUUUGUAAGACUAUCCAUUGUUGCAUUUUUUUUGGUAACAGUUAAGAAUUCUGCGUCUUCGCUCAGGAGGGAGAGGUUAAAAGCAUUACGUUUUUCUUUAAUAAUCAGAUGGAAAUACCCCUUUGAGAGGCGCCACCUGGUGCUAUGGCCAUGAAAAACAGACACGGAAUCUUUCAGAGCUCACUACUGGCUGAAACACUUCUUCAGGUAGAUUUAAAAGGCGCCGGAAAUGCGACGCUGGUCUUUUUAAAGAGAGUGCAGGAAGCAAGGCCCCAGCGAGCGGACGGAAGGGCA